rnacentral:lncRNA from 1 species
CUUGGGAUUCGAACGGCAGGCGGGAAGUGCUCUAGCAGGGGAGUCUGACCUUGUGAGGGAAUACCUGUGUCCCCCCUUUUUUCCCCUUUUUACCCAAUAAAACCCUGCCUUACUCACCCUUUAAAUCAUCUGCGAGCCUGAAUUUUCAUGGCCGUGGGACGGACAAGAACUUUAUCUUCAGCUGAACUAAGAAAAAGUCCUGCAACAUUUUUGGCGCGCAAUGUGGGGGCACCAGAAGCGGGCACCGUUGAGCUGUUGCAACUGUUCUGCUGGAGCCUUAUGUAUGUGGUUGAAACCACCUGUACUACUGGAAUGAAAGCACCUUUACAGAAGAGGCAAUGCAAGUUGUAUUCAUCACAUGUGUAGAAUGAAUUAAGAUUUAUGCCAGUUGCAAAGAAGAAUAUUGGCUCACUAUUUUUCCUCUGGGCAUGUGGAAAUGUAAAUCAGUCCAUGUUACUCACCUCGGAGAAGCAGAAGUACGAUUUACUAUUGUUGCUUGCUUACUUACUCUUAUCAAUUUCUAUGAGAGGGGUACAAGCAAUUUUCCAGUCUUGACCCUUUAUCUGUUGACCAAGCUAAGGCAGAAACCAGCUAAAUUCUGGAUUUAAUCUUGAGCAGCAAAAAAGAUCAGCUUUUGAAGUGGAUCUGCUUUUAUUCUUGGCAAAAGUUCAGCGGAGACCAACCAGAGUGGUGACAAAGUUCUUCAACAUCAAGCCAAAUAAAGAGACCUCAAGUAAACCUCCAGCAGCCAUCUGGACUUCCAUGAAAACAGAACAAUCAGUGAGAUGCAGAGCUUGGAGGAGACAGUUUCCAUAGACUGAAGCACGUGCUGAAGCAAAGUUCACACUUGCAGGAUUAGAAGAGGUUGACCGAAAGAAGGAAGGACAUGGACAGCUAUGUUGUUGUGGAGUCCUGUUUUAUAGUCAUAACCUUGAGUCAAGUGAGUUUGUCUGGACAGACAGAGCUUGUUGCCUUUACUUAUAGGGAAGGCACCGGACACAGACAGCCUCAAGGACAUUUGUUCUAGCCUUUCAGUAUCCUUUCUCUUAAUUAUCUCACCUCAUCCAUGAAGCUGGUAUGUACGAUUUUUCCUUUCUUUCUCAAUCCUUUAAAAAAUUAAAGCUCUAAAUCUCAUUUCCACUUAGAUUUUAAUGUUGCAUUGUAACUUAAGAUAAAACCUUGCUCUGAUGUUAAAAAUACUAAAGUAAGAAGCAAUAUGGCAUAGUGCUUAUGAGCAGGACUACAUAGUUCUUUCUGAAUACAAAUCUCAGAUAAAACACUAUCUCAGUGAUCAACCAGGUUAAGCAACCUUUUUAGUGCCUCAAUUAUUCCAUUUGUAAAAUUGUAAUAAUGAUAGUACUAACCUAUAAGAUUGUGGUGAGGAUUAAGUCAGAUAAUACAAAAGAAGCAUUUAGAGUAUUUCCUGGCAUUAUCUACCAUUUAUUGAAUUUUUAUGGUUAAGAAGAAUAAGGAAAAGCAGAAGAAAAGGAAAAGAGAAAAAAUACAUAAGAAGAAGGAAGAGUGGUAAGCUCUAGUAAAUUACAACAAACGGUAACGUAGAAAACAUUUGUUAGCCCUUAAUAUAGGCCAGGCACUGUGUUCAAUGCUUAAACCUCAUUACUGUUCUUUGAAGUGGAUAACAUUAUUCCUUCCAUUUUAAAGAAAGGAAUACUAAAGACAACUUUGUCAAUAUUAUUCAUGUAAUAAAUGACAGAAUUUGACCAAGACAAUAGAGAAUGAACUCUUAAUCACUAUAUUGUUUUAUUUUUUGAAAAUAGAUUUUAAGUUCUUAUUAAAUGUUAAUGACUCACAUCAAAAUAAAGCCAAUCAAAAUUGACAGCAAU